CGUUCCUGUUAUAGAGACUGUUGGCACUCUUGGAUGUGAAGGCACCUGUUUUUGCAUCCUUCAGUUGCUUUGUUGACAGUGACAGAUUAGGAGCCCCUUGUUGGAUAAGCUCUUCUAGCCGUUCAAAAGAGAUGACCAAAAUCCCAGAGAGAUUUGGGAAGGGGAGAGAAAUGUCUAAAACAUUGGGAAAUGUCGUAUGUACUCUUCACACAACCAGAGGUUUCGGUUCACACUGGUUUUAGGAACAGCUGGGCACAUUUGUUUAGCUUUAUUCUGUCAUAGCAUUUUGUUGAUUACGGUUUUUUUUUUUCGAGGAUGUUUCUUUAGCGUAUCAAAAACACUUUUUUGAACGCUGGGACACGUUUUCUCUUUCAGGAUCUUAGUUUGCCGACUAAGCAGUUAACCCCCGAAUAGGCCUUCUCUAGCAAAUUGUGGAAUGUUGGCAAGAAUUUGCGUAAUUAGCAUGGCUCACCUGCUUGGAAACAUGUUAGCUUAUAAGGUGAUGAGCAAUCUUGGUAUGUUGACAAUAACAAACAGACGAAAGACACACCAAAAAUCUAAAAUCCUUUUGACAACAUUGGAAGUUUUGUUUUUGAUUAUGUACCCGAUGAUUUUCCUCGCCGA